GUGCUCGCUUCGGCAGCACAUAUACUAAAAUUGGAACGAUACAGAGAAGAUUAGCAUGGCCCCUGCUCAAGGAUGACACGCAAGUUCGUGAAGUGUUCCAUAUUUAA
rnacentral:snRNA from 1 species